rnacentral:lncRNA from 1 species
CUCUUCCCAGAGGAGCAGAGGAGGUGGCUCCAGCAGAACCGAGCAGCCCGAGAAACUCUGAAAUGCUCCAGCGCAAAACCCUUUCUAAAGGACCAGACGAAUCGUCUGAAUCGACCCUCAGAACCCAUUUCUAAACUAGAGCAGGUUGACAGGGACAAGAAGGACGUUCCCAAAAACGCGGAGAAGGACGCUGAGUGCGAUGCCCAGUCCACAGAACACACCGGACGUGCCGCUCGGCACAAACCUCUGGGGACGAGCCAGAG